rnacentral:lncRNA from 1 species
CAGGGAGGCUGCUGCAAACUUCAGAUGUCACACUGCAAAUUCCAGUGUCUGAAAAGUGUUCCUUCUUGCUACUACAAGACACAGGGUUGGGGAGAAGAAGAAUUCAGAUUGAGGGAUAAAAGGAAAACAACUUAAACUAGCUUCAGGAAGUCUCUGAAAACUGACCAGAAUCCCCAGGCUCCUCCAUCCUAGAGUAAAUAAUAAAGAUGACUGAAGACUCAGACCACAUCUUAAGCCUGGAAGAAGCAGAAACCAGCCGAGCUGCCCAGAAGAGGCUGUGAACAAGGGAGUCACUUGGAGGGAUACUCUCUAACCUACAGG